rnacentral:rRNA from 1 species
UACAGAGGGUGCGAGCGUUGUUCGGAAUUAUUGGGCGUAAAGAGCGCGUAGGCGGUUUGCUAAGUCUGAUGUGAAAGCCCUCGGCUUAACCGAGGAAGUGCAUUGGAUACUGGCAGGCUUGAGUGUGAGAGAGGGUAGUGGAAUACCUGGUGUAGCGGUGAAAUGCGUAGAUAUCAGGUGGAACACCGGUGGCGAAGGCGGCUACCUGGAUCAUAACUGACGCUGAGGCGCGAAAGCAUGGGGAGCAAAC